rnacentral:rRNA from 1 species
GACGAACGCUGGCGGCGUGCUUAACACAUGCAAGUCGAACGAAGUGGCGAACGGGUGAGUAACGCGUAAUCAACCUGCCCUUCAGAGGGGGACAACAGUUGGAAACGACUGCUAAUACCGCAUACUGAAGGAGGGGAUUGCGUCUGAUUAGCUAGUUGGAGGGGUAACGGCCCACCAAGGCGAUGAUCAGUAGCCGGUCUGAGAGGAUGAUCCGCCACACUGGGACUGAGACACGGCCCAGACUCCUACGGGAGGCAGCAGUGGGGAAUUUUGGACAAUGGGCGCAAGCCUGAUCCAGCCAUGCCGCGUGUCUGAAGAAGGCCUUCGGGUUGUAAAGGACUUUUGUUAGGGAAGCGGUACCUAAAGAAUAAGCACCGGCUAACUACGUGCCAGCAGCCGCGGUAAUAC